rnacentral:rRNA from 1 species
AGAGUUUGAUCCUGGCUCAGGAUGAACGCUGGCGGUAUGCUUAACACAUGCAAGUCGAACGGUCUCUUCGGAGAUAGUGGCGGACGGGUGAGUAACGCGUGAGAAUCUGGCUCUAGGUCUGGGACAGCAGAUGGAAACGUCUGCUAAUACCGGAUGUGCCGAGAGGUGAAAGGCUUGCUGCCUAGAGAUGAGCUCGCGUCAGAUUAGCUAGUAGGUGGGGUAAAGGCCUACCUAGGCGACGAUCUGUAGCUGGUCUGAGAGGACGAUCAGCCACACUGGGACUGAGACACGGCCCAGACUCCUACGGGAGGCAGCAGUGGGGAAUUUUCCGCAAUGGGCGAAACGCCUGACGGAGCAAUACCGCGUGAGGGAGGAAGGCUCUUGGGUUGUAAACCUCUUUUCUCAAGGAAUAAGAAUGAAGGACCUGAGGAAUAAG